GUGCAGCAGUCGCGAAACUUCACACUGCACGAAAGCGCGAUGAGGGAAUCCCAAGUGCUUGCACGUAAGUGCAAGCUGUUUCUCUGUUUAAAAAGCAGAGAGAGUAAGGGCUGGGUAAGACGGGUGCCAGCCGCCGCGGUAAUACCUGCAGCUCGAGUGGUGACCGCUAUUAUUGGGCCUAAAACGUCCGUAGCCGGUCUAGUAAAUGCCUGGGUAAAUCGUGAGGCUCAACCUUACGAAUUCCGGGUAGACUGCUAGACUUGAGACCGGGAGAGGCUAGAGGUACUCCUGGGGUAGAGGUGAAAUUCUGUAAUCCUAGGGGGACCACCAGUGGCAAAGGCGUCUAGCUAGAACGGAUCUGACGGUGAGGGACGAAGCCCUGGGGCGCAAACCGGAUUAGAUACCCGCGGAGU
rnacentral:rRNA from 1 species